GUCGAACGAGAAAGUGGAGCAAUCCAUGAGUACAGUGGCGUACGGGUGAGUAACACGUGGAUAACCUGCCCCUUUGUGGGGAAUACCGUUGGGAAACCGACGACAAUACCGCAUAAGCUCGAGAGAGGAAAGCAGCAAUGCGCAGAGGGAGGGGUCCGCGGUCGAUUAGCUAGUUGGUGAGGUAAUGGCUCACCAAGGCUGUGAUCGAUAGCCGGCCUGAGAGGGCACACGGCCACACUGGCACUGAAACACGGGCCAGACUCCUACGGGAGGCAGCAGUGGGGAAUCUUGCACAAUGGGGGAAACCCUGAUGCAGCGACGCCGCGUGAGCGAUGAAGCCCUUCGGGGUGUAAAGCUCUUUCGGCAGGGAAGAUUAUGACGGUACCUGCAGAAGCAGCUGCGGCUAACUACGUGCCAGCAGCCGCGGUAAUACGUAGGCAGCAAGCGUUGUUCGGAGUUACUGGGCGUAAAGGGUGCGUAGGCGGUCCUAUAAGUAUGGUGUGAAAUCUCCCGGCUUAACUGGGAGGGUGCGCUAUAGACUGUGGGACUAGAGUGUGGGAGAGGAAAGUGGAAUUCCUGGUGUAGCGGUGAAAUGCGUAGAUAUCAGGAGGAACACCGGUGGUGUAAACGGCUUUCUGGACCAUAACUGACGCUGAGGCACGAAAGCGUGGGUAGCAAACAGGAUUAGAUACCCUGGUAGUCCACGCCCUAAACGAUGCAUAUUUGGUGUGGGUCAUUCAGUUGAUCCGUGCCGGAGCUAACGCGUUAAAUAUGCCGCCUGGGGAGUACAGUCGCAAGGCUGAAACUCAA
rnacentral:rRNA from 1 species